UACGGGGGGGGCAAGCGUUGUUCGGAAUUACUGGGCGUAAAGGGCUCGUAGGCGGCCAACUAAGUCGGACGUGAAAUCCCUCGGCUUAACCGGGGAACUGCGUCCGAUACUGGAUGGCUUGAGUUCGGGAGAGGGAGGUGGAAUUCCACGUGUAGCAGUGAAAUGCGUAGAGAUGUGGAGGAACACCGAUGGCGAAGGCAGCCUCCUGGGCCAGCACUGACGCUCAUGCACGAAAGCGUGGGGAGCAAACAGG
rnacentral:rRNA from 1 species